GCAUCACCUCACCCGGGAAGCUCAAGGGGUUGGAGAACUCCCUCCCCUAGCCAAGGGAAGCCGUGAAGGACUGUGCUGUGAGGAAGGGUGCACUCUGGCCCAGAUACUACACUUUCCAUGGUCUUUGCAACCCACAGACCAGGAGAUUCCCUUGAGUGCCUAUACCACCAGGGCCCUGGGCACAAAACUAGGUGGCCAUUUAGGCAGACACUGAGCUAGCUGCAGGAGUUUUUGUUUGUUUGUUUGUUUGUUUGUUUUUUAUACCCCAGUGGUGCCUGGAAUGCCAGUGAGACAGAACCAUUCACUCCCCUGGAAUAGGGGGAUGAAGCCAAGGAGCCAAGUGGUCUAGCUCAGCAGAUUCCAACACCAUGGAGCCCAGUAAGCUAAGAUCCACCAGCUUGAAUUUCUCACUUCCAGCCCAGCAGUCUGAAGUCAACCUAGGAUGCUCGAGCUUGGUGGUGGGGAGGGGUGUCUGCCAUUACUGAGGCUUGAGUAGGCAGAUUUCCCCUCACAGUGUAAACAAAGCCGCCAGGAAGUUCAAACUGGAUGGAUCCUACCACAGCUCAGCAAAG
rnacentral:lncRNA from 10 species